rnacentral:tRNA from 1 species
GCGUUGGUGGUUUAGUGGUAAAAUUCAUCGUUGCCAUCUGUUGCAGUUCCCCAAGGAGCCUCCCUCCUGACAGGACUCCCUGGAGCUCAACACCAACCUCGAUGAGCCCCGGGUUCGAUUCCCGGCCGACGCA